AUGUAUGAAGGAAAGAGCUUUCCAUUGUACGAGGCAUUGGGUGUGCUCUAUGAAGGACACAUUGCGCAAGGAAGACAUUGCCUCACAUCAAGGAAGCCCCCGAUUGGCACAAAAAUAGGUAGCAACUUUGUAGCGAAGGAUAAGAUGGUUGCAAGCACUAGCAAGAAAAAUACAAGACAUGGAAGAGAUGACAACGUAAGGACUUCUUCAAUAAUUGACAUCAAUGAUACUUCUACAUUAGAUGAUGUGGAUGAAAGAGAGAACACUGUCAAUGACGAGGAAGAAUUAGGCAGUGAAGAUGCUGAUGGCGAUCAACCACAAAUAAGUGAAUCAAGUGCCAAAGGGAAAAAAACUAAGAAACAAAAAGGUGCCACAUCUAUACAGCGGCUUGAAGAUUCCAUUAUGGCUUAUGUGAAUUUCAAGAAAGAGCAAGCUUCCAAGAAGGAAAAAGUGUCACAGCAAGGAAAACAACCCUCAAUUACAGAAUGCUUGCAGGUCUUGAAUGACAUGGAUGAUGUUCCCGACGAGGUCAAAAUCUUUGCCUCUGAUGUUUUCAAGGAUGCAGCAAAUCGUGAGAUUUUCCUGGGUUACAACUCAAGAUUGCGGGGUAUGUGGCUAAAGAAGGAAGUCGACAAGAUUAGUCCUCAGCCUCCUCCUUCUCGGUUUUCAUCUGGCGGUAUUCCUUCAAUCAAUCUGGUGCUCUGA
rnacentral:rRNA from 1 species